rnacentral:rRNA from 1 species
GACGAACGCUGGCGGCGUGCUUAACACAUGCAAGUCGAACGGAAAGGCCCUGCUUUUGUUGUGGGCUCGAGUGGCUAGAGUGUGGGUAACGCGUGAGUAACCUGCCCUUUACUUUGGGAUAACUGCAGUAAACUUGGGCUAAUACCUGAUAUUAGCGCCUGCUGCAUGGGGUGGUUUGUGAAGUUUCGGCGGUUGGGGAUGUACUCGGGGCUUAUCAGCUUGUUGGUCGGGUAGUGGCUUAGCAAGGCGUUUACGGAGAGCCGGCCGGAGAGGGUGAACGGCGACACUGGGAAUGAGACAACGCCCAGAAGCAUACGGGAGGAAGGAGCGGGGAAUAGUGCACAAUGGGCGGAAGCCCGCUGCAGCAACGCCGCGUGUGGGAUGACGGACUUCGGGUUGUAACCAGCUUUCGCCUGUGAUGAAGCGUGAGUGACGGUAAUGGGUAAAGAAGCACCGGCUAACUACGUG